AUGUGUGGUAACAGGGAUAGGUAGAAUGUGGCACUUCAGCCCCAUUUGUUUGCCACUCCUGCUGCGUUACUUAACCAUCCAAAUGGGAGUUUCCAUCUUCUGCUUAAACAGAGGUUGACCUAUAGGUUGUACAUACUAGCACUGAGUAUUUCAGCUAGCGGUAGCACAGAGAGUUGCUAGUUUGUAGCUGUGGUGGGAUUAUACUUCCUGGUUGAUUGUUGGAAGUACAAAGGUUUGGAGGAUUGAACUCACAGGACUGAGUAGUCAUUUAACACAGG